UACAGAGGUCUCAAGCGUUGUUCGGAUUCAUUGGGCGUAAAGGGUGCGUAGGUGGCGCGAUAAGUCGGGUGUGAAAAUCUCGGAGCUUAACUCCGAAAUUGCAUUCGAUACUGCCGUGCUCGAGGGACUGGAGAGGAGACUGGAAUUCAUGGUGUAGCAGUGAAAUGCGUAGAGAUCAUGAGGAAGACCAGUGGCGAAGGCGGGUCUCUGGACAGUUCCUGACACUGAGGCACGAAGGCCAGGGGAGCAAACGGG
rnacentral:rRNA from 1 species